GGAGGCUGACGGCGGGCGAAUCUCUCGCCAAACCGGUCAGAUCCGGAAGGAAGCAGCCGUAACGAGUUUCGGUUCGAGUCGUUGCUUCAGCCUCCCGC
rnacentral:SRP_RNA from 1 species